rnacentral:rRNA from 1 species
GACGAACGCUGGCGGCGUGCCUAACACAUGCAAGUCGAACGGAAAGGCCCUGCUUUUGUGGGGUGCUCGAGUGGCGAACGGGUGAGUAACACGUGAGUAACCUGUCCUUGACUUUGGGAUAACUUCAGGAAACUGGGGCUAAUACCGGAUAGGAGCUCCUGCUGCAUGGUGGGGGUUGGAAAGUUUCGGCGGUUGGGGAUGUACUCGCGGCUUAUCAGCUUGUUGGUGGGGUAGUGGAUAACCAAGGCUUGGACGGGUAGCCGAGCUGGGAGGGGGACCGGCUCCGUUAGGACUGGAAUGCGACCCAGCCCAGACCGGGACGCGAGGGAGGAGAGGAUAACACAGUAGGAGGGGGGCAGGUGUGGCACAGCCGCGUCGGGUGAGUGGGCAUUGGGGUUGUAAACCAAUGCCGCCUGACCCGGGGCGAGAGUGACGGUAACGGGUAAAUAAGCACCGGCUAACUACGUG